GGUGGUGGGUUCCAGCCCCAUGUUGGGUACAAGGUUCCUGCAUUGCAGGGAGUUGGACUAGAUGACUCUUGUGGUCCCUUUCCAAUUAUAUUGACUCCCAAGUACUUUUUCAUGCAGCAUAGUUACAGAACUCACUCCCAAAGGAGCCAUUGAUGGGAACCAACUUGGAUGGCUUUAAAAUAGGAAUAGACAAAGUGAUGGAGAAGUUUAUUGAUGGCUACUAGCCACAGCGAUGCUUCUGAAUGCCAGUUGCUGGAAACCACAGGAGGAGAGAACUGGUCCACAGGAGGGGAGAUCUGGGUGGCUACUGUGAGAAGAUGCUGGAAUGGCAAAUGCCUAGCAGUAGAUGGAUGUUAACUUGAGAGCCACUUUUCUCCUGCUGAAAUACUUGAACAACAUCAGUAGCGCAAGUUGCCAUUUCACAACCACUGUCAAGUUACUAUAAAUCCCAUUCCAAACCAA